rnacentral:rRNA from 1 species
GACGAACGCUGGCGGCGUGCUUAACACAUGCAAGUCGAACGGAAAGGCCCUGCUUUUGUGGGGUGCUCGAGUGGCGAACGGGUGAGUAACACGUGAGUAACCUGCCCUUGACUUUGGGAUAACUUCAGGAAACUGGGGCUAAUACCGGAUAGGAGCUCCUGCUGCAUGGUGGGGGUUGGAAAGUUUCGGCGGUUGGGGAUGGACUCGCGGCUUAUCAGCUUGUUGGUGGGGUAGUGGCUUACCAAGGCUUUGACGGGUAGCCGGCCUGAGAGGGUGACCGGCCACAUUGGGACUGAGAUACGGCCCAGACGCCUACGGGAGGCAGCAGUGGGGAAUAUGGCACAAUGGGCGGAAGCCUGAUGCAGCAACGCCGCGUGCGGGAUGACGGCCUUCGGGGUGUAAACCGCUUUCGCCUGUGACGAAGCGUGAGUGACGGUAAUGGGUAAAGAAGCACCGGCUAACUACGUG